rnacentral:tRNA from 1 species
UCCGAAUUGGUGUAGUGGCUAACAUUUGACGCUCUCAUCACAUCGUACACCAUAUCUUGUGGUGUUACCGAUGCAGUGAAGUGCCGUCAAGCCCGGGGUUCGAUUCCCCGAUUCGGAG